GCGGACGUGGCGAAAUUGGUAGACGCACUGGAUUUAGGUUCCAGCGGGAAACCGUGGGAGUUCGAGUCUCCCCGUCCGCACCA
rnacentral:tRNA from 2 species